CAACAAUCUGGAAUAUGAAAAAAAUGAAAUUGUUAUAAUUAGAUUCUUGUUUUAUAAAUUGAUUGCACCAUUUUGGAGAUGCCACAACAAAAUCACAUAGGAGAAUUUGGAAUGGUAAGUGCAGAUGUUACAACAAAACCACAUUUAGUCAAUCCCUGAAUAUUUCACAUGUGUAUCCAACAUGAAAAACAUGAAUUUAUAUAAUAGUACUUUUUGAAGAAAAUAGGAGGAGCCCUUACCAUUGCAUAAUAGUUGCUUGCUUAUACAAAUAUGUGAUAAAUUUGAAUAAGUUAUUUUUCAUAUACACUAGUUUAAGACAUGUGUAUUGCCUUAUCACUCUGUAACCCUAAAUAGUUGAAGAAUUGUCAUUCCACAUAGUUGUUGUAUACACAGAUAAAGGUUCUACCUUGUCUUGCCAUCCCAAAUCUGACAAACUUUUACCUCAAAUUGGAAUCCACAAUCAUUUUUAUAAUUAAUUUUCGUGGAACAAAAUCCAUAAAACAUAGAAAAUUACUUUAACGAUGAUAUUAAAGAUAAAGAAUAUUAUAUAAAUGGAACAUGUAAGAAGAUAAUCACAUAUGGGCAACGUGAUUAGAAUGAAAACAUUCUUGACUGAACAAAAUAUUCCUAGUUUUAUUACAAACAUGGGUUUAGAAAACGUGACUAUAACUACCUUCUUUUUUUUGCAUUUCCAUGUAAGAUUGCUUUAGUAGAUUAGGUCAAAAUAUGACCAUCUUUGGGAAGCAACAUUGGAAAUUUUAAUAGUCAAGUUUUGAUAGGUAUACAUAAUUACAUGCUAAAGACAUUGUCCAUUUGUUAUUGAAUUUUUACAAGUCCGAAUACAUUUAUAGUCUUUACUUUAAUUUGGUUGUUAAGCUAAUUUUAAAUAUUGAUAUUGUUUAAAGGAUAUUAAAUUAGUAAAAUAUUUUUGGAUUCUAGUAUGACAACAAAGUUUGUUAUUUUGGGAUGACAAAGCAUGAUAAAGCAUAUAUUUUCCUGCUUGUGCUAAUGUUAAUGGCAUGCUAAUGUUUAGGACAUUUUAUAUUUGGAAUACAUUUUACUAUAUUGUCUUCAUUUCAACAAGAGGCUAUGGCUUCUGAUCUUCCUCAUUUUGAAUAAUUUUUUUAUAAGCAAGUUGUCUUCUCCAUUCUACUUCAAAAUAAGUUCUUAAUUGGUGACACAUGAGGUGAGUUUUUAAUCUGUUUUCUAUUCAAAAUAACAUUUUUUAUUCAGGCUUUUCUAGAUGUUUGCAUUCAAUGAAAUUACAUCAACAAUCUGGAAUAUGAAAAAAAUUAAAUUGUUAUAAUUAGAUUCUUGUUUUAGAAAUUGAUUGCACCAUGUUGGAGAUGCCACAACAAAACCACAUUGGAGAAUUUUGAAUGGUAAGUGAAGAUGUUACAGCAAAACCACAUUUAGUCAAUCCCUGAAUAUCUCACACGUGUAUCCAACAUGAAAAACAUGAAUUUAUAUAAUAGUACUUUUUGAAGAAACUAGGAGGAGCCCUUACCGUUGCAUAAUAGUUGCUUGCUUAUACAAAUAAGUGAUAAAUUUGAAUAAGUUAUUUUCAUAUACACUAGUUUAAGACAUGAGUAUUGCCUUAUCACUCUGUAACCCUAAAUAGUUGAAGAAUUGUCAUUCCACAUAGUUGUUGUAUACACAGAUAAAGGUUCUACCUUGUUUUGCCAUCCCAAAUCUGACAAACUUUUACCUCAAAUUGGAAUCCACCAUCAUUUUUAUAAUUAAUUUUCGUGGAACAAAAUCCAUAAAACAUAGAAAAUUACUUUAACGAUGAUAUUAGAGAUAAAGAUAAUUAUAUAAAUGGAACAUGUAAGAAGAUAAUGACAUAUGGGCAACGUGAUUAGAAUGAAAACAUUCUUGACUGAACAAAAUAUUCCUAGUUUUAUUACAAACAUGGGUUUAGAAAACGUGACUAUAAUUACCUUCUUUUUUUUUACAUUUCCAUGUAAGAAUGCUGUUGUAGAUUAGGUCAAAAUAUGACCAUAUUUGGGAAGCAACAUUGGAAAUUUUAAUAGUCAAGUUUUGAUAGGUAUACAUAAUUUCAUGCUAAAGACAUUGUCCAUUUGUUAUUGAAUUUUUACAAGUUUGAAUACAUUUAUAGUCUUUACUUUAAUGUUGUUGUUAAGCUAAUUUUAAAUAUUGGAUAUUGUUUAAAGGAUAUUAAAUUAGUAAAAUAUUUUUGGAUUCUAGUAUGACAACAAAGUUUGUUAUUUUGGGAUGACAAAGCAUGAUAAAGCUUAUAUUUUNNNNNNNNNNNNNNNNNNNNNNNNNNNNNNNNNNNNNNNNNNNNNNNNNNNNNNNNNNNNNNNNNNNNNNNNNNNNNNNNNNNNNNNNNNNNNNNNNNNNUAGAUGUUUGCAUUCAAUGAAAUUACUUCAACAAUCUGGAAUAUGAAAAAAAUUAAAUUGUUAUAAUUAGAUUCUUGUUUUAUAAAUUGAUUGCACCAUUUUGGAGAUGCCACAACAAAACCACAUUGGAGAAUUUUAAAUGGUAAGUGAAGAUGUUACAACAAAACCACAUUUAGUCCAUCCCUGAAUAUCUCACAUGUGUAUCCAACAUGAAAAACAUGAAUUUAUAUAAUAGUACUUUUUGAAGAAAAUAGGAGGAGCCCUUACCGUUGCAUAAUAGUUGCUUGCUUAUACAAAUAAGUGAUAAAUUUGAAUGAGUUAUUUUUCAUAUACACUAGUUUAAGACAUGUGUAUUGCCUUAUCACUCUGUAACCCCAAAUAGUUGAAGAAUUGUCAUUCCACAUAGUUGUUGUAUACACAGAUAAAGGUUCUACCUUGUUUUGCCAUCCCAAAUCUGACAAACUUUUACCUCAAAUUGGAAUCCACC
rnacentral:lncRNA from 1 species